rnacentral:tRNA from 1 species
GGGGUUGUAGCUCAGUGGUAGAGCGCAUGCCUAGCCCAUGUGGGCCACUGGGUUCAAUCCUCAGCACCCCA